ensembl:ncRNA F58F12.6 ncRNA
UACUCACUCCGCCGGAUGAAUUCAUUCAUUUAUAUGGAUGAACAAAUGACAGGGAAAGGCAUGAGUUUAUAAAAAAGACAUGUUUUAGUACAAUGUAGUUACUAAGAUCAUGGAAGAAAAGACCUCC